rnacentral:rRNA from 1 species
GGGGAAUCUUGCGCAAUGGGCGAAAGCCUGACGCAGCGACGCCGCGUGGGUGACGAAGGCCUUCGGGUUGUAAAGCCCUGUGGGGUAGAACGAACUGGCAUCGGGCUAAUAUCCCGGUGUCUUGACGGUACUGCCUUAGCAAGCAUCGGCUAACUCUGUGCCAGCAGCCGCGGUAAGACAGAGGAUGCGAACGUUGCUCGGAUUUACUGGGCGUAAAGCGCGUGUAGGCGGUCUCGUUAGUCGGGUGUGAAAGCCCCGGGCUCAACCCGGGAAGUGCACCCGAUACUGCGAGACUGGGGUACUGAAGAGGAGAGCGGAAUUCCCGGUGUAGAGGUGAAAUUCGUAGAUAUCGGGAGGAACACCAGUGGCGAAGGCGGCUCUCUGGGCAGAUACCGACGCUGAGACGCGAAAGCGUGGGGAGCAAAC